GUCCGAGUCCAGCUGGGAGCUGUUGGGGAUCUCGGCACAGUUGUCCUUGGUGUCCUGAUGCCCAUCCCCAUCACUGGGAGCAAGAACAAGGUCACUGUCCAUAUCUGUCUGGAGGAGAGCGGAGCCCUAAUUCAGUGGACAUCCCAGGGCGAGGAGAAGGACCCCCUGCUCCCCACUGGGCCAGACCCCACUCAUCCCAGGCCCCCUGGCCCAGCCUGGCCCCAGCCAUACCUGAGUGGGGUUGCUCAUUUCAGGGCAACUGUCACAGGCAUCCCCAACACCGUCCUCAUCCCGAUCAGUCUGCAGAGGGUUGGGCACCUUGGGACAGUUAUCCAGCAUGUUGGGUAUCCCUGCAAGGAUAGCACUGGGUGGAUACCCUUCCCCAUCCCUGCGGGACAGCCCCCCUGGCACAGCCAGGUCGACCCAACAGCCGCUCACCGUCCCCAUCAAUGUCAUUAUCACAAGCAUCCCCCUCGCCAUUGCUGUCUGUGUCCCGCUGGUCAUUGUUGGGCACAUUGGGGCAGUUGUCACAGGCGUCUCCAAAGGAGUCCGUGUCCGAGUUCUGUUGGUCCUUGUUGGGGAAGAGCCGGCAGUUGUCCUGCGGAGAAUAGGACAGGGAUGUUGUCGCUGCGGUGGCAGGCAGACGAGAGGCCACAGUCCCACAGUGGUGAGGGCAGAAGGACGUCUCCAGCACUCUGAGACCAUUCCCAAGCCACCAGCCUGCUGCUCCCCAGGAGAGGCAUCUUGAGGGACUCAGAACUGAGCCAAAAGGAGAAGCCCUCCUAGAGCCACUGGCAUGGCCACCCGCCCAGCACAGCCACCUCCACAUUCUUGACACCAUCACCAUCAGCGUCGUCAUCGCAUUGGUCCCCGAUGCCGUCGUUGUCAGCAUCCUCCUGCCCAGAAUUGGGCGUCAGGCGGCAGUUGUCCUGCAGGCACAGCCAGCAUUAGGAACGGGGAGGAGACGAGGUCUGGAGCACAGCCCUGCUGUGGACCCUGUGCCCUGCACCCCGUGCCCCCCUUCCAGGAGCCCACCUGCUUGCAGUGCUUGUUGUUGUCAAUGCAGGGCAGGGGCUCGUCUGGGUACCCAUCCAGGUCUGUGUCUUGCCCACACACGUUGCCGUUGCCAGCCCAGCCCACGUUGCACUGAAUAAAGACGAGAUCGGGGGCUGAAAAGGG